AUUGAACGCUGGCGGCAGGCCUAACACAUGCAAGUCGAACGAGUGGCGGACGGGUGAGUAAUGUCAGGGAAACUGCCUGAUGGGGGGGGAUAACUACUGGAAACGGUAGCUAAUACCUCAUACCCUCAGAUGUGCCCAGAUGGGCUUAGUUUGUUGUUGGGGUAACGGCGCACCAAGGCGACGAUCCCUAGCGGGUCCGAGAGGAUGACCAGCCACACUGAAACUUAGACACGGUCCAGACUCCUACGGGAGGCAGCAGUGGGGAAUAUUGCACAAUGGGCGCAAGCCUGAUGCAGCCAGGCCGCGUGUAUGAAGAAGGCAUUCGGGUUGUAAAGUACUUUCAGCGGGGAGGCGUUACCCGCAGAAGAAGCACCGGCUAACUCCGUGCCAGCCGCCGCGGUAAUUC
rnacentral:rRNA from 1 species